UACGUAGGUGGCAAGCGUUAUCCGGAUUUAUUGGGUGUAAAGGGCGUGUAGGCGGGAGCGCAAGUCAGAUGUGAAAACUCAGGGCUCAACCCUGAGCCUGCAUUUGAAACUGUGUUUCUUGAGUGCUGGAGAGGCAAUCGGAAUUCCGUGUGUAGCGGUGAAAUGCGUAGAUAUACGGAGGAACACCAGUGGUGAAGGCGGAUUGCUGGACAGUAACUGACGCUGAGGCGCGAAAGCGUGGGGAGCAAACAGG
rnacentral:rRNA from 1 species